UGGCGUGCUGCGAUUCAUGGGGUCGCAAAGAGUCAGACACAACUGAGCGACUGAUCUGAUCUGAUCUGACAGAGAGGCAAGUAGAACUCCUUGUUCCUUUCCUAAAGAUCUGCAAUAACAGAUUAAUAAUAGCCUCAGCCUGUGAAUCCUGUUUCUUUAUCUGAUUGACUCAAGAGUCUCCUUUGAUGACCACAUGCCUGCAGAUGGUACUGUUCUGAGAAGAUCAUCAGCCUUAUCUGAGGACCCGCACCCUGGUCCUCAUACAGGUAACACCUGUACUCUGUCUCUGUGACUAGGCAGGGGUUUUAACAUCUUCAUCCUGGAAAAUUGGAGUCCUUCCCAUGGAAUGUGUGUGUUGAGCUUAGCAGAGACAGCCCUUUCCACUCUGGAGGUAAGACUGGGAAAAUGUGAGUCCAGAGCCCUCUGCUGCCUCUUGGCCCACUGCCUGUCCAAACCCACCUGCAGGAGGAGAGAAGGACCUUGUUACAAACAAGAGAAGAAGAGGUGAGUGACACCAAGGGGGCCCAAGUUCCCAGUCUCAAAAGACUUCAGAAGAAAGCGUCACAUUACACUUGAAAAUAUUCAGGCUACUUUCAGAUAUCUUUUGAUGUUGAUUUCUAACAUAAUUAUAAUUUCAUAGUGAUAAGAGAACAGACUCUGUAUGAUUUCAAUAUCUUUACACCACGCCAUUUUUGUACCUUGUUUAGUGUCCCUGGAUAUAUUCCAAUGUCUCCUUGUUUACAGCCUAUGGGAACUGAAAUAGAAUUUGUAUCCUACUGUUGUAUGAAAAUUGUAUACAUCUUAAUUAUGUUGAAUUGGUUCAUAGUGCUUUUCAGGUCUGCUAUGAUCUUCUACUUCUCUGUAUAUUUGUUCUAUUAAUUUUUGAGAAUAUGAUAUUGAAACUCCAACUCAAAAUCUUACCUACUUAAAAAUAAUGGUAAUAUAUAGUGGAACUAUAUGUAAAUUUGAUCUUCAUUUUCCAAGUCUCCUGUAAUUGUGUUAGCAUGCUUUCAUAAUUUAAAAAAAUAAAAAUUAAAAAAAUGUCCUCACAAGAGCCCUAGAUACAGCACUCCUAAGGCUCUGCUUUUAUGUUGUGGUUUUUUUACUGAUGUUGGUUUUGACUUUCUGAACUACCAUGAUCCCUCAACUAAAUCUUUUUGUACUUAGAAGAAUCUAUUUGGCUUUCUAGUACCUGGAACUCAAGCAUCCAAAUUACCAAAUGGCCCAUAAUUUAUUCAUCUUAGUAAUGGAUAUAAUUACUGUGUGAGGCCUUGGUGAACUGCACACCAGCAGGAUGGCUUCUCCUCUUACAAUACUAACCUUCCAGGAGAAGACAUAGCUGGAUAGCACUCACUGUCUCUGAGUUCCCGGAUUCACUACCCUGGGUACCAAUGACCCUUUCUGAGGACACUUUAGCAUGCUCUCCCCGUAGGAGCAGCAACAGCCCUUUUUCCAUUUUAUAUUCCCAUUAUCUAGUGCAAUCAUAAAGACCCUCCAAAUAUUUGUUAUGGGAAUAAGUGAAAUGCAGUAAUACUAAUAACAAUACUGUUUUUAUGGUUUCAAAGCCCUUCCAGACAAAUUAUCUCAAAUACCAAGCAUAUCCAUGGGAUUUCUAUAGUAGAAAGUUGAUGUUUAUCAGCAUCACAGCCAAAUAAAAAUAUCCUGUAAGACGUUCAGCUUCCUUCCCUUUUCUUAUCUAAUAUUAAUCUGAUUUUCUAAGGAGACUUUCAUACUGGGAAAAGAAGGAGCUCAUGAUUGGGAACAGGAGAGGAAAGGUGAUAAAAGUAUCUGGUUGAUUUGGUUGCAUUUCCUGAAAAUAAAGUUAAUUGGUUUCCAAUGAAUAUGAAUCUUAGAACCUCAGGUACCUAACAACCUGAUCCUCUGGUGGUGACCCAGGAGCCAAAGUUUAGGAUCUGCAAAGCUGAGGCUGAAACACCUCAUUCAUUCUUUCAUUCAGUAAAUUCUAUUGCAUGCCAAUUACAUACCAAACAUUAUGGUAACUGUGGGGAGCCUCUCCACUCUUGGGAUUUUACAGCUUAGUAUGGUGGUUCUCAGGUGGUUCUCAACUGCCAGCACAGGAGACAAGAGACUCAAGUUCAGUCCCUGGGUUAGGAAGAUCUCAUGGAGGAGGAAAUGGCAAUCCAUUCCAGUGUUCUUGCCUGGAGAAUCCCAAGGACAGAGGAGCCUGGUGGGCUACAGUCCCUGAGAUGGCAGAGUCAGAUGCAUCUGAGCUCUAUAUAGUGUAAACGUAACAGUUGUUCUCAAACUGACUUGUACCCUGGAAUCACCAGGAGAGCCGAUACCUGAAUCCUACUCCAAGAGCUUGUAAUUUCCUUAGCCUGUGAUCUGUAUGUCUGCAGUUUCAAAAUGUCCCCAGGUGUCCCACGAAAUGUGCCACCUCAGCUGAGAGCCACUAGUCUGGAGAGAGAAUGGUGAAUAAGCAGGGAAUUACUAGAAAGGGUUUAAAUCCCUGAUGCAGGGGAACCAUGUGUGACCCUAGCUUGGCAGAUCCUGAGAGACUUCCCUGAGGAGGCAGCUGAGCCCAAAGGGGCCCUGAGGACUGGCCCAGGUGAUGAUGUUGAGAAGCUGAGAUAAGAAGAGUAUUCUGACCAAAGAGAAUAAUACAUGUCAUAAGAAACUACCCUAAAGGGAGAGAGAGAGAGAGAAAGAGGAAGCCUGGUAUGUUAAAGAACAGAAAAUAGUCUUACAGUGAAAGGAGAGAUAGGCAGUGAUAAAAAUUGAGCUUGAAGAGGUGAGCAAAGGUCAAAACACAAAAAUGGAAGUUUUGGGAUGUCGGAAGGCAAUGGGGACACAUUACAAAGUGUGCGGUAGGAGAAGGAAAGGAUCCUCUGUGCUAGAGAUAGAACCUUCUCUAAGCCCUUGCUCAUCAGAAUAAUCUCAAUGGCCACACUUGUAAAUAAGACCAGCCUGGAGAUAGCAUGGUUAAUGAAGAUUUGUAAUUGUGUUAAUGAUUUAUCCUUUCUUUAAAAAUCUUGUUCUCCUCAUUGUCUGUGAUAAAUUUAUAGGCUUCUUUUUCUCCCCAGGAGAUCAAAGCAGCUGCAUCAUCUCAUUAACCUUCACCCCCAGAGAAGAUGGCAAGGAAAACUUAGAAACAAACAAAACCAAGCCACUCUUCCUGCCUUCAGUGGAGCUUCAAACCAGAGGAUGUUACCUAGAACACACUGGAGAGUCAUAACCUUGGAGUUCACAUUAAAGAUGUCAGUCCCAGGAAACUCCUACUCACCCAGCUUGAAUUCACCAGGGGAAGGCCGAAUGAGGACACAGUGAGAAGAUGGGAAGAAGGUCUCACCACAACCCAAUCCAACAGCACCUUGAUCCUGGAUACACGGUCCCCAGAACUUCAAGACAAUAGAUAGAUUUCUGUUGUUUAAGCCACCUGGUCUGUAGUCAUUUGUGAUGACAGCCUUAGCCAACUAAUAAAAACCAUAGAGGCCCAAACAGGUCCA